rnacentral:tRNA from 2 species
GCCCGGAUAGCUCAGUCCGGUAGAGCAGGGGAUUGAAAAUCCCCGUGUCCUUGGUUCGAUUCCGAGUCCGGGCACCA